CGAACGCUGGCGGCGUGCUUAACACAUGCAAGUCGAGCGAUGAAGCACCUUCGGGUGUGAAUUAGCGGCGAACGGGUGAGGAACACGUGAGAAAUCUGCCUUCAACACUGGGAUAACUCCGGGAAACCGGGGCUAAUACCGGAUAUGAAACCUGCGGGCAUCCGCGGGUUUGGAAAGUUUUUCGGUUGAAGAUGAUCUCGCGGCCUAUCAGCUUGUUGGUGAGGUAAUGGCUCACCAAGGCGACGACGGGUAGCCGGCCUGAGAGGGCGACCGGCCACACUGGGACUGAGACACGGCCCAGACUCCUACGGGAGGCAGCAGUGGGGGAAUAUUGGGCAAUGGAGGAAACUCUGACCCAGCGACGCCGCGUGCGGGAUGAA
rnacentral:rRNA from 1 species